GGGCUGCGAGGGCGCCGCCGCGACCCGCCUACAUGCCGCGCACCAGCCCGUUGGUUUCCACGUCGGUGAGGUUGCCCCGCAGGUCCUGCUCCUCCUCGAAAGCCUUGAAGAGGGAGUUGAAGUUCCCGGCGCCAAAACCCUGAGCGGGAGAGCGGCGGCACCUGGAUCUGGGACUUCUUCUUGCCUGGUGCUGGCUCGUUGAUGGGCAUCUUGAUGGAUUCCUCAUAAUUGGCCACUACGAUGGAGCGCAGAGAGCUGUAUUCUGUGUGCACCUGCGUGUCAUCCACGGACCAGAAGCGGUGGAACUGCAGGUUCUUCAGGCACACAGACCACAAUACACACGCGGGCCGUGUCCGUGACCGGGUCGGCCGCAGGCCACUGGUCGUUGAGGUCUCUGGCAGUCAGAUGUUACGCGUGGAUUUUCAACUGUGCUGUGUGGGAGGUCAACGCUCCAAGCCCCGAGUUGUUUGAGGAUCAACUCCUCUUCUCCAAGUGGAGGAGAAAUGUGAAGCCUCACAAUUAGGUCGAAGCUCCAGAAAACACUGUCUUGAAUUUUGCCAUGUGGGCAGCUUGCACUUUGAACCCUCCGAGUAUUAAAAAUACAGCAAGUCUC